rnacentral:rRNA from 1 species
AGGACGAACGCUGGCGGCGUGCUUAACACAUGCAAGUCGAGCGGAAAGGCCCUUCGGGGUACUCGAGCGGCGAACGGGUGAGUAACACGUGAGCAACCUGCCCUUAGCUCUGGGAUAGCUCCGGGAAACCGGAAUUAAUACCGGAUACGACCUAGGCCGACAUCGGCCAUGGUGGAAAGUUUUUCGGCUAGGGAUGGACUCGCGGCCUAUCAGCUAGUUGGUGGGUAAAGCCUACCAAGGCGACGACGGUA